rnacentral:rRNA from 1 species
AACCAAUAGCCUCCUGAACGUGCGUUGCACCCUUGGGAUUUCCUGAGAGUAUGUCUGCUUCAGUGCUUAA